rnacentral:rRNA from 1 species
GACAGAGGAUGCAAGCGUUAUCCGGAAUGAUUGGGCGUAAAGCGUCUGUAGGUGGCUUUUAAGUCUGCCGUCAAAUCCCAGGGCUUAACCCUGGACAGGCGGUGGAAACUACCAAGCUGGAGUACGGUAGGGGCAGGGGGAAUUUUCCGGUGGAGCGGUGAAAUGCGUAGAGAUCGGAAAGAACACCAACGGCGAAAGCACUCUGCUGGGCCGACACUGACACUGAGAGACGAAAGCUAGGGGAGCGAAUGGG